CGCACCUUGCACCUUUUGGUAUUCCGAAAGGUAUGCCUGUUUGAGUGUCUUGAAUACCUCACCUAGAAGCUUUUUCUGCUUCUUGCGUGGAUGUGAGCGCUGCCGCUUAGGCUCGCUCGAAAAUGCUCAGCGGAGCUGACCGCGACCGACGUGAUAAGUUACUGUCGUCACCGCGUCUCAGUCUGCUCACAACCCCAGUCUCCAGACACUGUCUUCAGACACUUUGAUCAGACCUCAAAUCAGGUAGGACUACCCGCCGAACUUAA
rnacentral:misc_RNA from 1 species